rnacentral:rRNA from 1 species
UUUGUGACAUACCUACAACUGUUGCUUCGGCGGGUAGGCCGUCCCCUGAAAAGGACGCCUCCCGGCCCGGACCGGACCCCCCGUGGGGCCGGACUCGGCGCCCGCCGGAGGAUAACCAAACGCUAUUUUAACGACGUUUCUUCUGAGUGGCAUAAGCAAAAUAAUCAAAACUUUUAACAACGGAUCUCUUGGUUCUGGCAUCGAUGAAGAACGCAGCGAAAUGCGAUAAGUAAUGUGAAUUGCAGAAUUCAGUGAAUCAUCGAAUCUUUGAACGCACAUUGCGCCCGCCAGCAUUCUGGCGGGCAUGCCUGUUCGAGCGUCAUUUCAACCCUCAAGCUCUGCUUGGUGUUGGGGCUCUACGGUCGACGUAGGCCCUCAAAGGUAGUGGCGGACCCUCCCGGAGCCUCCUUUGCGUAGUAACAUUUCGUCUCGCACUGGGAUCCGGAGGGACUCUUGCCGUAAAACCCCCCAAUUUUUCAAGGUUGACCUCGGAUCAGGUAGGAAUACCCGCUGAACUUAAGCAUAUCAAUAAGCGGAGGAA